rnacentral:rRNA from 2 species
GCAGUCGAGCGGACCUCUUCGGAGGUCAGCGGCGGACGGGUGAGUAACACGUGGGCAACCUGCCUGUAAGACUGGGAUAACUCCGGGAAACCGGAGCUAAUACCGGAUACUAUGUCAAACCGCAUGGUUUGACAUUCAAAGACGGUUUCGGCUGUCACUUACAGAUGGGCCCGCGGCGCAUUAGCUAGUUGGUGAGGUAACGGCUCACCAAGGCGACGAUGCGUAGCCGACCUGAGAGGGUGAUCGGCCACACUGGGACUGAGACACGGCCCAGACUCCUACGGGAGGCAGCAGUAGGGAAUCUUCCGCAAUGGACGAAAGUCUGACGGAGCAACGCCGCGUGAGUGAUGAAGGUUUUCGGAUCGUAAAACUCUGUUGUCAGGGAAGAACAAGUGCCGGAGUAACUGCCGGCGCCUUGACGGUACCUGAC